rnacentral:rRNA from 1 species
GACAGGCGUAGGCGAUGGAUAACAGGUUGAUAUUCCUGUACCACCUAGUAUCGUUUUAAUCGAUGGGGGGACGCAGUAGGAUAGGCGAAGCGUGCUGUUGGAGUGCACGUCCAAGCAGUAAGGCUGAGUGUUAGGCAAAUCCGGCACUCAUAAGGCUGAGCUGUGAUGGGGAGAGGAAAUUGUUUCCUCGAGUCGUUGAUUUCACACUGCCGAGAAAAGCCUCUAGAUAGAUAACAGGUGCCCGUACCGCAAACCGACACAGGUAGUCAAGAUGAGAAUUCUAAGGUGAGCGAGCGAACUCUCGUUAAGGAACUCGGCAAAAUGACCCCGUAACUUCGGGAGAAGGGGUGCUCUUUAGGGUUCACGCCCAGAAGAGCCGCAGUGAAUAGGCCCAAGCGACUGUUUAUCAAAAACACAGGUCUCUGCUAAACCGUAAGGUGAUGUAUAGGGGCUGACGCCUGCCCGGUGCUGGAAGGUUAAGAGGAGUGGUUAGCUUCUGCGAAGCUACGAAUCGAAGCCCCAGUAAACGGCGGCCGUAACUAUAACGGUCCUAAGGUAGCGAAAUUCCUUGUCGGGUAAGUUCCGACCCGCACGAAAGGCGUAACGAUUUGGGCACUGUCUCAACGAGAGACUCGGUGAAAUCAUAGUACCUGUGAAGAUGCAGGUUACCCGCGACAGGACGGAAAGACCCCGUGGAGCUUUACUGUAGCCUGAUAUUGAAAUUCGGCACAGCUUGUACAGGAUAGGUAGGAGCCUUUGAAACGUGAGCGCUAGCUUACGUGGAGGCGUUGGUGGGAUACUACCCUAGCUGUGUUGGCUUUCUAACCCGCACCACUUAUCGUGGUGGGAGACAGUGUCAGGCGGGCAGUUUGACUGGGGCGGUCGCCUCCUAAAAGGUAACGGAGGCGCUCAAAGGUUCCCUCAGAAUGGUUGGAAAUCAUUCAUAGAGUGUAAAGGCAUAAGGGAGCUUGACUGCGAGACCUACAAGUCGAGCAGGGUCGAAAGACGGACUUAGUGAUCCGGUGGUUCCGCAUGGAAGGGCCAUCGCUCAACGGAUAAAAGCUACCCCGGGGAUAACAGGCUUAUCUCCCCCAAGAGUUCACAUCGACGGGGAGGUUUGGCACCUCGAUGUCGGCUCAUCGCAUCCUGGGGCUGUAGUCGGUCCCAAGGGUUGGGCUGUUCGCCCAUUAAAGCGGUACGCGAGCUGGGUUCAGAACGUCGUGAGACAGUUCGGUCCCUAUCCGUCGUGGGCGUAGGAAAUUUGAGAGGAGCUGUCCUUAGUACGAGAGGACCGGGAUGGACAUACCUCUGGUGUACCAGUUGUCGUGCCAACGGCAUAGCUGGGUAGCUAUGUAUGGACGGGAUAAGUGCUGAAAGCAUCUAAGCAUGAAGCCCCCCUCAAGAUGAGAUUUCCCAACUUCGGUUAUAAGAUCCCUCGAAGAUGACGAGGUUAAUAGGUUCGAGGUGGAAGCGUGGUGACACGUGGAGCUGACGAAUACUAAUCGAUCGAAGACUUAAUCAA